rnacentral:rRNA from 1 species
AUGUACUUAUGUACGUGUGCACCGGCCAAGGCGGACGCCCUGGUCGCCGUAGGAGAGCGCCUCACGGACUCCGGCCUUCAUUGCUGCAGCCUCCAACGUGGCCUUCACCACGGUCAGCAACCCCGACGUCUUCCGCUGCGCUUUGGCGGUGGACUGCCCACACGAAGAUGCACGGAGGGUGGCGAUGCGUGCAACGGCGGAUGCUUCCUCGGGGACUUGCCAUGGAUGGCGCAGCUCGCCGCCGUGGCCUACAUGGUGGAUGAGCUCCGAGGGUGCUUCGCUGGCAGACAGAUGAAGGAGGUCCGGCGUCGGCUGGUGGAAUACGCUACCAGCGGAGGCACAGCGAUGGCGCCCUCCUCUCCAUGCUCCCCGGCUUCGCAGCUUCAGGUCUAUACUAACGGAGGUGACAGUCCCCGACAACAACGACGUAGGGUGGCAUCCAAUGACGGGGCGCCGGGGAUCUUGGCCGGCAGGAGGUCGAGGAGGGAUGCGGCUAGCGGCGUCGAGCGCGAUGUACGAUUGGACGACACGGGACGCCGGCAGCCUGAACUGGCACGAGCUUGA